rnacentral:rRNA from 1 species
UACGUAGGGUGCAAGCGUUUGUCCGGAAUUAUUGGGCGUAAAGAGCUCGUAGGCGGUUUGUCGCGUCUGCCGUGAAAACCCGAGGCUCAACCUCGGGCCUGCAGUGGGUACGGGCAGACUAGAGUGCGGUAGGGGAGAUUGGAAUUCCUGGUGUAGCGGUGGAAUGCGCAGAUAUCAGGAGGAACACCAAUGGCGAAGGCAGAUCUCUGGGCCGUAACUGACGCUGAGGCACGAAAGCGUGGGGAGCAAACAGG